rnacentral:rRNA from 1 species
UACGAAGGGGGCUAGCGUUGCUCGGAAUCACUGGGCGUAAAGCGCACGUAGGCGGCUUCUUAAGUCAGGGGUGAAAUCCUGGAGCUCAACUCCAGAACUGCCUUUGAUACUGAGGGGCUCGAGUCCGGGAGAGGUGAGUGGAACUGCGAGUGUAGAGGUGAAAUUCGUAGAUAUUCGCAAGAACACCAGUGGCGAAGGCGGCUCACUGGCCCGGUACUGACGCUGAGGUGCGAAAGCGUGGGGAGCAAACAGG